AGAGAAAGUAUAGAUAUUAAUAGAUAAGCAAAUUUCAGGAUGCUUGGCCAGAUAGACCAGGUGAUUUUGAAAUUGAACCCAUUAAGAAAGUUAAGGAUAUGCCAAAGAUUACAUCUAAACCGACUAUACAAGAGCCAAAUAAUGAAAUAGAGGACAUCUGGGCAGACAGGCCACAAGAACCAGAAAUUAAAUCAAUUUGGAGAAAGGUGCCAGAAAAGACUAGCAUAGAUUUAUCACGGACACAGCACACAGUACCCGAGGUAGAUACGCACUACACAAAUAAUCA